ACGGGAGGCAGCAGUAGGGAAUAUUGCGCAAUGGGGGAAACCCUGAUGCAGCAACGCCACGUGUGGGAAGACGCAUUUCGGUGUGUAAACCACUGUCGUGAGGGAAUAAGGCUACUUUUCGGAGUAGUUGAAUGUACCUCGAAAGGAAGCACCGGCAAACUUCGUGCCAGCAGCCGCGGUAAUACGAGGGGUGCAAGCGUUGUUCGGAAUCACUGGGCGUAAAGGGAGCGCAGGCGGAGAUGCAAGCGGAAUGUACAAGACCGGGGCCCAACCCCGGACCUGCAGUCCGGACUGCAACUCUUGGAUAGUUCAGGGGCAAGCGGAAUUCCUGGUGUAGCGGUGGAAUGCGUAGAGAUCAGGAAGAACACCGAUGGCGAAGGCAGCUUGCUGGGGACUAAUCGACGCUCAUGCUCGAAAGUGCGGGUAGCAAACAGGAUUAGAUACCCUGGUA
rnacentral:rRNA from 1 species